CAGGGCCAGUUGGUGUGUGGGGGUGUGGCUCUGGGAGUGUGGAAGGUGCUGAUAGCGAGGGAAUGAGAGAGAGGUGCUGAGAGCCACUGCACAAGUGUUUCUGAGGCCUAGCUGCCUGCUGCCUGCUGUGAAACCCUAUAAACCCUGCCCCGUGGGAAUUGAGCAGAAAGGACAGGGACCUCCUCCUCUCUGGAAGUCUCUGAAGAUGAUGGUGGACAAAGGUGAGGUUGUCAGCUGGCUCAGGAACCAGCGCACAUCCGAGUACCACCUUCCAAUGAUUUGGCCACUAGUAAUGACCCAGAUGGUGGUCUCUACGAACAGUUUCUAAGAGGAGCCAGGGAUUCUCAAAGAAAUGACCGACUCCACUGUGCAACAUGGUCCUGCACAUCCUGUUUCACCAGAAGCAAGGAACCCAUCAAAGACUACUGAGGUUGUAUGAAAAGAACUCAGGGGCCAACCUGUCUACUGGCUCCCACUGUCUAAAGAUGGGACUACUAGAGCACUUGUGAAAACAAUGACUACCAUGCACUGAAACACAGCCAAUCCAUACACUCAUUCGCUUCCUUCAGAAGGUGCAAAAUAAUGAACUCCUUCUGAAAAUUGGUAAAUAAAAGAACCAAGCAUUCAUCUUGCCUUUCCUAAAACCCAGUGAAGCUCUCCAAAGGCCUUAGGGAUGAGAAGCUAUCAGAUGGAAGGGGCCUGGGUCUCUGAAGGACUAUGUGGUGCAGAGAGACCACAAAUCUACACUGCUUUGGCUUUAUUUGACACAUUAUUACUAUGGCAAGUCCCUGAGACUUGGGAUAGUGUGCUCUGAGUAUUAGCAUAUCUUGGCUAAAAUAAUUUCCCUUCCUGGUGGCCACUAAUAGUAGUAGUUGAUUCCUUUGGGUUUAUCCAAUAAAAU
rnacentral:lncRNA from 1 species